rnacentral:lncRNA from 1 species
CACAUGCAAUGCAGAAGUACAUAGUGCUGAAUCUGGUCCUUAGACUAUAAAAGUGUUUCCAUCCCACACAUAUCCUACACAUUUCCUUAUCUUUGUGGAUCAUAGUUAUCACUUAAGCAGUGUUUUUUAUAUUGCAUUUUAAAAUAAAAUUUUAGGUUAUACUGAAACUGAGUGCUGUAUAGGGAGAAUUCUGUGAAUCCAAAAACCACCCUCUGUGGGCUGCAUAAGUGCCAUAAG